UACGAAGGGGACUAGCGUUGUUCGGAAUUACUGGGCGUAAAGCGCACGUAGGCGGAUAUUUAAGUCAGGGGUGAAAUCCCAGAGCUCAACUCUGGAACUGCCUUUGAUACUGGGUAUCUUGAGUAUGGAAGAGGUAAGUGGAAUUGCGAGUGUAGAGGUGAAAUUCGUAGAUAUUCGCAGGAACACCAGUGGCGAAGGCGGCUUUCUGGU
rnacentral:rRNA from 1 species